ACCUACCUAUAUAUAACCUACCUACCUACCUACCUACCUACCCAACCCUAUUUUAAUGGGUCGAGAAGUGGAAACAAACAUAUUUUUAUUUUUUGCCUAAGAGUUAUCAAAUUGAAACAUCAUAUGUAUCAUGGAGGGUAUUAUAGUUCACAAUAACAGUUAAAAAAUUAUAAGGUAGAAGACCCAUAAUGAAAUCGGCAAUCUUCGACAAUUACCGCCAUAUCUCGCGAUUUAUCGUAACGAACUUCGUUUUUUUACGUAUAAAGUCGGAAUUCUAAUAAUAGCGGAUAUCCCCGGUCACGUGGUAGUAUUCCCCAAGAAAAUGACGUAAUUUCCGUAGAUAUCUAACAUGGCGUCUUACAGGCGUGAUACGCUCGGUCGAUUAAAAAAAAGUGUAAAAAGAUGCAGAAAACCCAAGUAUCCCGACUUAAUUAUAGAACAUAACUAUAGUGCAGGUAACCAGUAUUACGGGUCAAACAAACCAGCUCUACAAAACAUCAACUCUUCCUAAAUCGGUUGAUAAUGAGGGUUGGAAAAAGGGAAGAAGAAUCGUUGAGACUCGAGUUUGGCGUGUUACGGUCAACCCUAAGAUUUUGUAAAAAAUGUAGACUUGGACCAGUAGGCUACCAUUAACUUUUGACAACAUGUUGAACAGGUGAAUUUAAACAGGGUGUGUCUGGAUAUUUGUAUGUGAAAUGUCGAAACACAGAAAUUAUGCGGUCAUGUGAAUUGUGUUCCCUAUGGAAAAACACAGACUCUAGUAGUAGAAGAUUGAAGACCUGGGAAAGUUGGAAUGCCAUGUUUCGUUGUCAACACAAAAUUAGGACCAGCAAUGAUUGAUAGUGUAGGUGGGCCGGUGAGGGGAGGGUCAACAAUUUGUUGUCAACACUCAAUAUACCAACAAUUGGAAAUAAAAACAUGAAAAGAAAUGGAGAGACGUGUUGGAAAUAUCAUUGAGACAGUGGCUUCUAUCUGUCUAUGUCGACAGAAUCUGCUGCGAAAGAUCAAGGAAAUUGAGGAUGUGCAUCAUGAAGAAUCAAUGGUAUCAGAACACAACAUCAUGGAAGAUCUUAUUGACAAGAUCUUGGAGGAUGUCCUUUGCCAGAUGCCUCGCCAGCACUAAAGUCUAUUCUUCAGUCAGAUGCUACAGUUACAAAUGACAGUGAAUGGUCAGAUUUAUACAAUUGUGAUGAACAAUCCUCAACAAUACAUCAAACAAAAAUUGCUAUUAAACUUGUACUGCAUCAAUAAACUAAAUAUGGAGAGUAGCUUAGUCACCAAAGCAGUCAACACCAAAAUACACACAAUGGCCAGGGCACUGAAACUUGAAAGAGUGAAAGAGUAAAGUAGUGCGUUUUUAGCUUACAAAGUGACAUUGCGAGCUUUUGUCUAUCAUUCCUCCGUAAACUUGAUCUUUAAACAACAUCUCAUAAAUUGCCAAGCCAAUUUCAUGCAAACUUACAAUAUUGUCUAGUCAGUUUUUGUUUUGCUUGCAAUUGUUAUAUGACAUGACUAAGACAUUUAGUUUUAUUCUUCAGUUAUUAUGUUUAUGUUUGUAUAAGACCCAAAUAUAUUGUUAAGAUUCAUUUUUACACAUUUGAAAGCCAUUAUUGUUCUAGUCAGCUUUUGUUUUGCUUGCAAUCGUUAUAUGACAUGACUAAAGACAUUUAGUUUUAAUCUUUAAUAAUUAUGUCUAUAUUUGUAUAAGACCCAAAAAUAUUGUUAAGAUUCAUUUUUACAAUUUUAAAAGCCAUUAUUGCUUUAGUCUGUUUUUGUUUUGCUUGCAAUCGUUAUAUGACAUGACUAAAGACAUUUAGUUUAAAUCUUUAGUUAUUAUGUCUAUGAGGGGCAUCCUUGGCCGAGUGAUUAAGGUCAUUGACUUCAAACCACUUGCCCCUCACCACUGUGGGUUGGAAUCCCGACAGGGACUUUGGAUUCUUUCAUGUGAGGAAGCUAUCCAGCUAGCUUAACUGAACGUCGGUGGUUCUACUCAGAUACCCGUUCGUGCCUGAAAUAAUGCAAGGAAGGGCACCUGAACGUCACUAUAUGACCUAUACUGUGUCGAUGUGACGUAAAAACCCAAAACAAACAAACAAAAAAAUUAUGUCUAUGAAAUUAGUUGUUUGUAUAAGACCCAAAUAUAUUGUUGUGAUUAAUUUUAACAAUUUUGAAAGCCAUAAUUGUUCGUGUCAGAUAUUGUUUUGCUCACAAUCAUAAUGUUAUAUGGCAUGAGUUUAAAUCUGAAGGUAUUUUGUCCAUGAAAUAUGCUGUUUGUAUAAGACCAAAAUAUAUUUUUGAGAUUCAUUUUUACAAUUUUGAAAGCCAUUAUUGGUCUAGUUUGUUUUUGCAUAACACAUAACGCUAUUGUUAGUAUUUAUUGUUAUUAAUAGUGAUUUGUCUAAGUGGAUGUCGAAGUAUGUAUGUUAUUCCAUGCCAGUUCAUGUUUGAAUGAAACUUUUUGUCCAGAUAGAAGAUUUCAAACUGUUACUUUUCUGAUUUUUAGCUUUUACAACAAUAUUAUAUUUCCCAUUUUUGGUGCUAAGAAAUACUGCAACAUGUGCUGAAUAAUAGCUAUUGUCAAACAUUGUUUUUAUGCUCCCCGAAAAAUUUCGGGGGAGCAUAUAGUCAUCGGGUUGUCUGUCCAUCUGUCUGUACGUACAUACGAACCCGAAUUCGUGUCCAGCCCAUAACUUUGUUAUUUCAAGUUGGAUUUUAAAACUAUUUCACAGAAAUGAUCACCAUAUUGAGACGACGUGUCGCCCGCAACAUUUGGUUCGCUACCUUGAAGUUCAAGGUCACACCGUGACCUUGAACAAAAAUUGUGUCCGGCCAAUAUCUUGGUUAUUUGAUGUCGGAUUUUACAACUAUUUCACAGAAAUGAUCACCAUAUUGAGGCGAUGUGUUGCACACACCAUUUGGGUCAAUACCUUGAAGGUCAAGGUCGCAACAUGACAUUGAAGCAAAAUGGUGUCCAGCCCAUAAAUUCGUUAUUUGAAGUCGGAUUUUACAACUAUUUCACCGAAGUGAUCACCAUAUUGAGAUGAUAUGUCACACGCAAACAUUUGGGUCAUUACCUUGAAGGUCAAGGUCACAGCAUGACCUUGAAGCAAAAAUGUGUCUGGCCCAUAGUGUCGUUAUUUGAAGUGUGAUUUUACAACUAUUUUGGAAUUAUCAGACUUUGAACUUUGUCUGGAACAUAACCCUGAAACUUCAAAAGAUAUACUUUUCUGUGUCCAAAUCCUAGUCGGGGGAGGAUCACCCUGGUUCAAUAGGCUCUUGUUUUUAAUUGAUUAUUAAGUAAUAUGAACAAUGCAUGAUAGCAUCAUAACUAAAGAGUGGAAAUUUAUGAAAGUCAAAUAUGUAAAGAAUCAGUUGCUAAUAAAAUG